AAUCAACGCUGGCGGCGUGCCUAACACAUGCAAGUCGAACGAGAAAGUGGAGCAAUCCAUGAGUAAAGUGGCGACCGGGUGAGUAACACGUGACUAACCUACCUUCGAGUGGGGAGUAACCUCGGGAACGGGGACGUAUACCGCAUAACAUCUUUGGUAGGUGGAAAGUUUACGGUAGGAUCAAAGGAAGCAAUUCGCUGGAAGGAGGGGGUCGGCGGCUGAUUAGCUAGUU
rnacentral:rRNA from 1 species